CAGCACGAGCUUGGCUCCGCUCCUCCUCUCCCCGGACCAGGCCUGGACCCGAGUUGUUUCCAUGAGGAAUCCCUCCUGGAGCCGAGCGCUCAGUGGGCAGGCAGCACGGGGCUGGGCAGCUGUGUGGCUGCGGCCAGGAGACAGCCUGGCUGGGGAGGGAGGCGGGCGUUCUGAUCCUUUACAGAAAUUCCCUCUGGGGUGUUUGGACGGUGACCCCUGUCAGAGCCUGCGGCCACCUGGGAACGAGGCCCCUUCUUGCCCGGCCCCUCCUCCGCCAUCUGGACGUUUCUAAACUCGUCUUGUACCUGAUGGCAGGCGGCCUCCCGAGCUCCCAGCCGCGCUGCCCGCCUGCGGGCCAGCCCUCCCCCCGGAGCCUCCCCGCCUGCCUCUCCUGCCUGGGCCCUGGCCUUGCCGGGAAGACAUGAUGCUUUUGUACGGAGAAGGGUGGUAUUAGUCAGGGAAGGAGGGCAGCAUUCGGAAUACCGGGCGCUGCCACUGUCCCGUCCCGGGGGCUUGGGCGAGUCCAGUCGCUGGCUUUGGAGAGUCUUUCUCAGCAUCUGCCGUCACACGUGGUCCCUUCUGCCACGGUCAUUGGGAGCCACAAACAGACGCAGGAUCAAGCAGCUGGGAGAUGUUCUGGUGGCCGGUGGGCGUCCUGCACGGCCCUCCUAUCUUGCGGGCAGUUUGACGGGUCACGUUUGCUGGUUUCAACCACAGCCCAUACCCCGUCUGCCAUGUGGGGACACAGGGAGACGACUCCGACCCAGAGCUCCCUCACCUGACCCUGCUGGCGCCUGGUCUCGGGCUUCCAUCAAACUAUGAGAACGAAGUGUCCGCUGUUCACCAGCCGCCAGACGGUGCGCUCUGUGACAGCCCCCUCGGACCGAGGCGCUCGGUGAGGCUGCACGUGAGCUCUUGUUGGUCGGCCUGUGCUGCGGACGUCGUGGGAUCCAGGGGAUGGAGCGUGCUGUUCAGUGACCCGUCCCCGCUGAUUGUGCGCCUGCGUGUACGACGGGGCUGCUGGUCUCCGAGGACGACAGUGCCUUCAUCAUCUCCCCUCUCCGUUCUGUCGGUUUUUGCCCCAUCGGUUUGGAUACUUGUGGUCUCUGCUUGGAGAAUGGGAUGAUCUCAUCCUGUCAACGCCCCUCCGCCCCUUUAUCCAGAAAGAUCUCAUCGCCCGGAGGGUCUCCCCGGCCUUGCCGACCACUCGUUUUCGCGGCGGCCUCCCAGUGACGAUGGCGGCGUGAGCACCUGCCAUGGCCCACCGCACGCACCAGAGCACAGCGAGCAGCAUGCU